rnacentral:rRNA from 1 species
GAUGAACGCUGGCGGCGUGCCUAAUACAUGCAAGUCGAGCGAACAGACGAGGAGCUUGCUCCUCUGACGUUAGCGGCGGACGGGUGAGUAACACGUGGAUAACCUACCUAUAAGACUGGGAUAACUUCGGGAAACCGGAGCUAAUACCGGAUAAUAUAUUGAACCGCAUGGUUCAAUAGUGAAAGACGGUUUUGCUGUCACUUAUAGAUGGAUCCGCGCCGCAUUAGCUAGUUGGUAAGGUAACGGCUUACCAAGGCGACGAUGCGUAGCCGACCUGAGAGGGUGAACGGCCACACUGGAACUGAGACACGGUCCAGACUCCUACGGGAGGCAGCAGUAGGGAAUCUUCCGCAAUGGGCGAAAGCCUGACGGAGCAACGCCGCGUGAGUGAUGAAGGUCUUCGGAUCGUAAAACUCUGUUAUUAGGGAAGAACAAAUGUGUAAGUAACUAUGCACGUCUUGACGGUACCUAAUCAGAGAGCCACGGCUAACUACGUG